rnacentral:rRNA from 1 species
GUCGAGGGGCAGCGAGAUCAGUGCUUGCACUGAUUGUCGGCGACCGGCGCACGGGUGCGUAACGCGUAUGCAACCUACCCAUUACAGGGGGAUAACACUGAGAAAUCGGUACUAAUACCCCAUAACAUCCAGGGAGGCAUCUUCUUGGGUUGAAAACUCCGGUGGUAAUGGAUGGGCAUGCGUUGUAUUAGUUAGUUGGUGGGGUAACGGCUCACCAAGACAACGAUACAUAGGGGGACUGAGAGGUUAACCCCCCACAUUGGUACUGAGACACGGACCAAACUCCUACGGGAGGCAGCAGUGAGGAAUAUUGGUCAAUGGACGCAAGUCUGAACCAGCCAUGCCGCGUGCAGGAAGACGGCUCUAUGAGUUGUAAACUGCUUUUGUACGAGGGUAAACGCAGAUACGUGUAUCUGUCUGAAAGUAUCGUACGAAUAAGGAUCGGCUAACUCCGUGCCAGCAGCCGCGGUAAUACGGAGGAUUCAAGCGUUAUCCGGAUUUAUUGGGUUUAAAGGGUGCGUAGGCGGUCGGAUAAGUUAGAGGUGAAAUCCCGAGGCUCAACUUCGGAAUUGCCUCUGAUACUGUUCGGCUAGAGAGUAGUUGCGGUAGGCGGAAUGUAUGGUGUAGCGGUGAAAUGCUUAGAGAUCAUACAGAACACCGAUUGCGAAGGCAGCUUACCAAGCUACUUCUGACGUUGAGGCACGAAAGCGUGGGGAGCAAACAGGAUUAGAUACCCUGGUAGUCCACGCAGUAAACGAUGAUAACUCGUUGUCGGCGAUACAAUGUCGGUGACUAAGCGAAAGCGAUAAGUUAUCCACCUGGGGAGUACGU